AAAUGUCUGCCACAAAGAUAAAAUUACCUAGAAACUGAAGUUUCUGCGUCAAUUUCCCUAUUUUGGCUAGCAUUU
rnacentral:ncRNA from 1 species